UACGUAGGGACCAAGCGUUGUUCGGAUUUACUGGGCGUAAAGGGCGCGUAGGCGGCGUGACAAGUCACUUGUGAAAUCUCUGGGCUUAACCCAGAACGGCCAAGUGAAACUGUUGUGCUAGAGUGCAGAAGGGGCAAUCGGAAUUCUCGGUGUAGCGGUGAAAUGCGUAGAUAUCGAGAGGAACACCUGCGGCGAAGGCGGGUUGCUGGGCUGACACUGACGCUGAGGCGCGAAAGCUAGGGGAGCGAACGGG
rnacentral:rRNA from 1 species